GAGUUUGAUUCUGGCUCAGGAUGAACGUUGGCGGCGUGCCUGAGAUAUGCAAGUCGAGCGUGCCCUCUGAUUCGGAGGGCAGCGGCGAACGGCUGAGUAACACGUAGGAACUUGCCCUAAGUAGAGGAUAGCCCAUCGAAAGAUGGGGUAAUACUCUACGGUCCCCGACGUUACGUCGGGGUAAAGGAUUUAACCAUCCGCUUAGGGAGAGACCUGCGGCCUAUCAGGUAGUUGGUAGGGUAACGGCCUACCAAACCGAUGACGGGUAGCUGGCCUUAUGAGGGUGGUCAGCCAGAGGGGGACUGAGACACGGCCCCCACUCCUACGGGAGGCAGCAAUCAGGAAUAGUCGGCAAUGGGCGAAAGCCUGACCGCGCGACGCCGCGUGCGGGAAGAAGCUCUUCGGAGUGUAAACCGCUGUGGUAGGGGAGGAAACCCCGACGUUACGUCGGGGAUGACAGUACCCUACUAGAAAGGGGCCGCUAACUGCGUGCCAGAAGCGUCGGUAAUACGUGGGCCCCAAACGUUAUCCGGUUUUACUGGGCGUAAAGGGUCGU
rnacentral:rRNA from 1 species